GUGCCAGCCGCCGCGGUAAUACGUAGGGGGCGAGCGUUGUCCGGAAUUACUGGGCGUAAAGGGUGCGUAGGCGGCCCUUUAAGUCGGAUGUGAAAGCCCGCGGCUUAACCGCGGAAUGGCAUUCGAAACUGGAGGGCUUGAGUGUCGGAGAGGGUAGUGGAAUUCCCAGUGUAGAGGUGAAAUUCGUAGAUAUUGGGAAGAACACCGGUGGCGAAGGCGACUGCCUGGACGAUAACUGACGCUGAGGCACGAAAGCUAGGGGAGCAAACAGGAUUAGAUACCCUGGUAGUCCUAGCCGUAGACGAUGGGUACUAGGUGUAGGGGUUUCGAUACCUCUGUGCCGCAGUUAACGCAAUAAGAACCCCGCCUGGGGAGUACGGUCGCAGGACUGAAACUUAAAGGAAUUGGCGG
rnacentral:rRNA from 1 species